rnacentral:rRNA from 1 species
CCUACGGGAGGCAGCAGUGGGGAAUAUUGGGCAAUGGGCGCAAGCCUGACCCAGCAAUGCCGCGUGAAGGAAGAAGGCUUUCGGGUUGUAAACUUCUUUGACAGGGGAAGAGCAGAAGACGGUACCCUGAAAACAAGCCACGGCUAACGACGUGCCAGCAGCCGCGGUAAUACGUAGGUGGCAAGCGUUGUCCGGAUUUACGGGGGGUAAAGGGCGGGUAGCCGGGAAGGCAAGUCAGAGGUGAAAGCCGGAGGCUCAACCGCCGAAUUGCAUUUUAAACUGUUUUUCUUGAGUCCUGGAGCGUCAGCCGUCUUUCCUUUUGUCGCGGUGAUAUGCGUCGCUAUCCGGAGGUCCCCCAGUGGCGACGGCGGUCUGCUGGACAGCAACUGCCGGUGCGGCGCGCCAGCGUGGGGAGCCAACCGGAUUAGAUACCCGAGUAGUC